GUCCUGAAUAAGAAGAAAGUGUCUGACGAAGCCUAUUCCCAAACUAAGGCCUUCCUCUCAGACUGCCCGAGGGAAGGAUAUGAGAGGUUACCAAAGAUUGCUCAAAGACCUGCAACAAAAAUACCGCCUCAGGCCCAGGCCAGUGAAGGGGAGAGGCUGGUCCUGCCCUCCAUCAGACACAGCUGCAACAGCCUGACUGAGAGACAGAAGAGAGCUCAAGCCAUCCACAAGACCCGC
rnacentral:lncRNA from 1 species